GUGCUCACUUCCACAGCACAUAUACUAAAGUUAGGACACUAUACAGAGGAGAUUCACAUGGCCUGCACAGGAAUGACGUGCAAAUUGGUGAAGCAUUCCGUAUUUUU